rnacentral:lncRNA from 1 species
CGGUAACGUUGUGUUCGUGAGGAUUCAUUCGACUACGUUGGUUCAUCUACUUCAUGGACUCGUUCUUCUUCCUUGCGGGAUUUCAGGCAAGAUGACUUCUACCCUGGAUCUCACUACUAUCAUUGCUAUGCUAGUUGCUUUGUUCUAUCGCUAUGCUGCGUUACCUAUCUGUUGCUCUUCAAGCCCCCCAAAAUGCCAUGAACCUCUAACCUUUGACACCCUUCCUAGCAAACCAUUGUUUGGCUAUGUUACCGCUUUGCUCAGCCCCUCUUAUAGCGUUGUUAGUUGCAGGUGAAGUUGAAGAUUUCUCCAUGGUGGAAAGGAUUUUGGUUGGGAUAUCACAAUAUCUCUUAUAUUAUUAAUGCAUCUAUAUAUUUGGUAAAGGGUGGAAGGCUCGGCCUUAUGCCUGGUGUUUUGUUCCACUCUUGCCGCCCUAGUUUCCGUCAUACCGGUGUUAUGUUCCCGGAUUUUGCGUUCCUUACGCAGUCGGGUGAUUUAUGGGACCCCCUUGAUAGUUCACUUUGAAUAAAACUCCUCCAGCAAGGCCCAACAUUGGUUUUACCAUUUGCCUCACCACCACCUAUAUUUCCCUUGGGAGUAAUUAACCCAAGGGUCAUCUUUAUUACAGCCCCCCCCCCGGGCCAGUGCUUGUCUAAGUGUUGGUCCGAACUAGAGCCCUUUGCAGCGCCCCCUCAGGGGAACUUGAGGUCUGGUUUUAGUUGUACGGAUUGCUCAUCUAGUGUUGCCCUGAGAAUGAGAUAUGUGCAGCUCCUAUCGGGAUUGCCGGCGCAUCGGGCGGCUUUGCUGGUCUUGUUUUACCAUUGUCGAAAUGUCUUGUAAACCGGGAUUCCGAGUCUGAUCGGGUCUUCCUGGGAGAAGGUCUAUUCCUUCGUUGAUCGCGAGAGCUUGUCAUGGGCUAAGUUGGGACACCCCUGCAGGGUAUAAUCGUUCGAAAGUCGUGCCUGCGGUUAUAGGCAGAUGGGAAUUUGUUAAUGUUUGGUUGUAGAUAACUUGACACCAGAUCCGAAAUUAAAUGCAUCAACCGCGUGUGUAGCCGUGAUGGUCUCUUCUCGGCGGAGUCCGGGAAGUGAACACGGUUUCUGGGUUAUGUUUGACGUAAGUAGGAGUUCCGGAUCACUUCUUGAUCAUUGCCAGUUUCACGACCGUUCCGCUUGCUCUCUUCUCGCUCUUGUUUGCGUAUGUUAGCCACAAUAUAUGCUUAGUCGCUGCUGCAGCCUCACCACUUUACCCCUUCCUUUCCCAUUUAAGCUUUGCUAGUCUUGAUACCCAUGGUAAUGGGAUUGCUUAGUCCUCAUGGCUCACAGAUUACUACAACAACAGUUGCAGGUACAGGUUAUGCGAUGAUCAUGACGCGAGAGUGAUGCUUGCUUGCGUUGAGUUCUUCUUCUGCUUCUUCUUCGAUCAGGGGAUAGGUUCCAGGUUGGCAGCCUGGGCUAGCAGGGUGGAUGUCAUUUGAGUUUCUGUUUGUGUUUUCAUCCGUAGUCGGAUGAUGCUCUUAUGUAUUGUGAUGUUGUAUUCAUGUGGCAUUGUUUGCCUCUUGUAUGUAUACCCAUCUAUUAUGUAAUGUUGAUGUAAUGAUAUCCACCUUGCAAAAGCGUUUCAAUAAGCGGGUCUAUCCUUGGUGGGACCUUCGAGUUCCUUUUGGAUAGGGUCGCAUAUUGGGCGUGACAAGUUGGUAAUCAGAGCCUCGACCGACCAUAGGAGCCCCCUUGAUUGUUGGCCGUUGUUGAGUCUAGAAGAAAACUAUUUUGAGUCUUAGGAUUAUACAUAUCGGAGAGUAGGAUUCUUUUUACUCCUCAGCCUCUUCGUCGCUCUGGUGAGGUCUCUUGACGUAGAUGUUUUGACUUUCCUCUCCUCAAAUUUCACUAAUUUUUUUUAGGAUCACGCGGGUAUCUUGGAAUCGUUCCGAUGGUUUUGUGACGAGAACAUUGUUCUUGGUGCCUCCUGUCUAUUAUGUGGCUUUGACCCCGGGAGUUGAGCUCCGAGGUGUUGUCGUCACAAUUUUAUCGUUGCAGUUCUGGAAUACCUGAGUUUUGCCGACAUCGAAAAUCUCUUUUAUGCAGUUGUUGGUGAGAUAACCUCGACGUCACCCAGUACUAGGGAGUUCGGGAGUAUUGCCAUAACUCGUAUAACGGAUGCUUUUCGAAGGUUGAGGUACACGAUUUCCGAAGGUUUCUUGGUUAUGUGUUGACGGAUGGAUACAGCUUGGAUGUAGGUAUUGUUAGUUUGGGUGAGAUAUAUUGCUUCCCCCGUAUCCCCAACACCAGAUUGCAUAACCAGAAAGUUUCGGGAGUUUAUAGGUGGGAAUUCAAGUAGCUCUAGUUUUAUCUUUCCAACAGACACAUGAUACGAUAUGGGAUCUAUCAUAUGUUUGUUUCCGGCUUAUUCUGCAAGCCAAUCCUUUGUUUUGUUUUAUUUGUGGUAUUCGAGUUGCUCCGAAGUCAAAUGUUGAAUCCAUACCUUUCCUAAACGGUGUUCUCAUAUUGCUAUGUGAAUACAAAUCCUUCUUGAUCAUCGAGGUCGUCAUGUUAAUUCUUUUCCAACCGGCAUGCUUCUCUUCAAGUGGAUCCGAUCUUUUCAAUAUUUGCGAGAUCAACUCUAAGUUUUCUCACCGGUGUUUGUUUCAUCCAUCCCAAGUUGUCUUUGUUUUCCCGCCCUCCACCCUUUUUUCUUCAAGAACUCAGAUUUCUAAAUCAUGUAUCCUUUUAUUUGUGGGAAGUCUCUUCAUUCUUUUCUUUCAGUGUUCUUAUCCGGCGAUUUCCCUCGUGAAGAUGCUCACAAGCUUCAAGUUCAUCAUUCUUCAUUCUCGUAUUCUUCUCCGGUGGAUCCAAUUCAAGCUUUUGAUAUUCAUCAUAUCCCUUUCCUUGUUUCAAAUGUUUUUCCACGUCGGUGCACCUCUUAAUUGUUCACCUCUCUCUAUUCUUAUCCGGAGUGCUGAAGAUAUCUCAGAAGAAUCAUGUUUCCAUUUUUAAUCCGUUCGAGUUAGUUUGAGGUUUUUCUAUCAUUCAAGCUAUUUAAUUCUACCGGUGCAAUCUCUAUUUGAAGCAAUUCUUCAACGAUGGUUCUUUCAAGUGGGCCCUAACCCACAGGUCUUUUCCUAGGAUCUUACCUGACUCUUCUAAUUUUCCCGGAGCCAUUCCCAAAGUCUUUCGAAGUUUGACGUAAGAAUGAAUUAUCAUCAGUCCUAUGUCUUUCUCCAAGAUCUUUCAAAAAAAAUUCAACGUUGGUUCAACCUUUCCAAUUUUCAUUCUGGAGUGCCUCAACAAUUGUCAUGGUGGUUCUCAUCAUCAUUCUCAACAUUUGAAGACCGAAGAAGAGUUUUUUCCUCUAAAUCUUGGCCAUUCUCUUGAAGAUUCAUGAUUCUAGCUUGAUGCCAUCCUCUCAUAAUUAUUUUAGAUUGUGAGAAUUCUUUUCACCCAUCCGGAUCUAUUCAGGAGUCUUUUCAGUUUGAUUCUCCGGAGCACAUCAUCUCGGAAUCAUUCAUUCCAGCCUUCAGCUCUCGUUAUCCAAAUCUAUCCGGUGCAUCAUUCAAGUAUCCUCUAAUCAGUUCAUGUUCUCUUUGUUCUCAUGUAUCUAAAUCCCUUCAAGUAUCUUCAUUCAUUUUCCAAUUCUUCCGGGUGAAUUGUGCCUUUACUUCGUUCAUUCUCAAUUCUUACGGUGGCUCCUUCAAGAUUUCUCUUCCUUCGUUAUCAUAUCAAUUCAUUCGUUGUUUCCAAAUCCCAUCGGUGGUUCCAUCUAUACCUUCUUGAAGUUGGCACUAUAUCUCUUUUCAAUCCCUCAAGAAGAAUAAGUAGUAUGCCAAAUCCGUUGCUUGUCAUCAAUUAAAUUUGAUGAAGGAUAAGCAUACAAUAAAUCUUAUUCUUAUUUCCUCGAGGUGACUCAAUUCUUCUCUUCCAGAGAUUAUUCAUGAUGAAUAAAUUCUUGAUUACAAGUGAUUCACCUUUUUUCCGGAGUUGGUCAUCAUAUCACAUUCUCGGUUCGAGAGGCUUCAUCUUUUCUUUUCUGGAGUUCCAAGUUUUCCGCAUUAUCUCGUCACGAAGCUCCAUCUAAAUCAUUGCAAGGCUUCACCUUGUGUUUUCAACUUCUCUUCCUUUCUAUCAUCCUUUUAUUACCAGAGUUCUUCAUGGAGGCUCCACAUGAUGGUUCAUCAAGUAUUAUUUUUCAUUCUUCAAUUGUUCUUCAAGAUUUCUCUUGAAGUUAUGACCCGCCAAGCUACACUCAAAAAUAAACAUGGUUCUCAACACAUGUUUUGUUUUGAGGCGUUCAAGCAUUCUUCAUCUUGCAUUCCGAAGUGCAAUCCUUUCUACCUUAUCUUUUGAGAUGGUGUUAUGUCACUCUUGACAAUUUCCCUUCGUGAUUCACAAGUUGUCAGGAAUGAGUUAAUUAAAACCAUCAUUUUUCUCUUCGAUCAUGAGGUAUUUUAGAUCCAUCAAUCUCUUUGUUGGAGUUAUCUUGGGUUAUAUUUCACCUAAAGCCUUCCAUUGGGAAUGUUGCUAUUUGUGGUGCUUGUCAAUAAUCCAAGUUUUUCUCCUAUCCUCUCGGUGAAAGGAGUUGCCAUAUCCUUGUUGACCUCAAUCCAAUCUAUUGUUUCCGUUAGUGGCAGAAUUUCGCCUCAAUUUUGAGAAGUUUGCCAUAAGCCCACAACAAGCUUGUGCCUUUCGUUGUUGAUUUUCCAACAACUCCGUUCAGUCCUUCCUUGUAAGGAUGCUUUCCAAGUUCAUUUGUGGCAGAACUUGUCAUUUUCUUCUCCAAUCUUUUAUUCCAGUGAUCUAUCUUCUAUUCUUUCUUCCGAAGGCAUUGUGAUGUUGUUCUCUUCACUCAUCAUCUUGUUUUGUCAAGACAUGUUCUUUUCCAUGCUUAUCCACUUAACCGGAGUGUUGUGUCUAUCAUUCCUCUUUUAACCGGAGUCUCAACCAAGUGCUUUCAUUUUGCCAAGUUCAAAUUAUAUUCCUUCCAUGUUCAGUCGGAGUGCUGCUUAAAUUAUAUCAAUCUUAUUCCUUCUCUAUCUAGUUGUAACCGGAGUGGUUUCGAAUUCUAUCUUGUCCAACAAACUCUUGAUUCAUGUCUUUGGAACCUUCAAGUUCUCGUAAUGUUCCUUGUUCCUCUUUUCUAACGGAUUUUUUGCAAUCUCGUUCAUCUCUAAUUGCUCAACCUCUCAAGGUUCGUGGUUUCACUCAUUGGUCGAAGAAGCAACUUAGUUUUACCUCUUCUCUUCCCUUUCUGUUUUCCCUCCAGUGCCAUCCUAGAUCUCGGGACGAGAUCCUCUCGUAGUGGUGGAGUGUUGUAACGCCCCGGAUACAACUUUCCAUAUUCGUAACUCCGUCUCUUGCCUUUUCCGGAGAUGCGAUAUGAUAUUUCCUUCGUGGUUGGGUUUUAUCUGUUGUUUUGCAUUUUGUUCUUGUUAUGCAUCUCAUCUCAUGUCAUCAUCUGCAUUUCAUAUGCAUGUUUUCCAAAACUUGCAUCCGUUCGGGUUCCGCCGGUUCUCUCCGUUGUCCAUUCUAAGCCCGACCACACUCGCACGCGCCCGCGGCACCUCCGAAAUAUUAUUUUAUAAGUGGCAUAAAAAUGUUCUCGGAAUGGGUUGCAACUUGUCAUGCGGCCUUAUUAUAGUGUAGACAGACCGCCUGCCAAGUUUCAUCGCAUUCGGAGUUCGUUUGGUAGCCCAACCAUCAUCCGUAGCGGCACCGUUGCCGGUUUAAUCGUCGGACGUUUCGGUCUCCGAAACUACUGCUGGGCCUCUCUUUCUCUCCUCUUCUCUCAGCCCAACCCCUCUUCUCAGCCCACCUGCAGCCCACCUAAACCCCCCUCCAUUCCUGAUCGUCGGAUCGCGAUCGUACGCUUCGAAACGGUCUCAAAACCCCCAACCCUAACCCCCUCUCUCUAUAAAUAGCAGCCCUCCUUGCCAUUUUAUCACCCCUAAACUCCCUCCUCGAAUCCCGCGCCCCCAAUCAUCAGCCGCCGCCACCUCCCACCUUCUCCUCGUAAUCCGGCGCCGGCCACCUCCUCCUCGCCACUUGGCACCGUCCCAUAGGCCGUGCCACCGCCAGUUGUCGCGCGCAGCCAACCGGGUGUUGCCACGUCCUCCCCCGUGCCCCACUUCAUUGCGGCCCGCUAGGAACCCAGAUCGGGCCCUGGGAAGCCCAUCUGGGCCCGGCUCCCGCUCCAGCCCGUGCCCGAGGCGCUCCCUCCUCGGUCCCGAUCUGGAUCGAGGGAGCGAGGAGCUCCUGCCCCGCCUCGCCGGACCUCCCCUGCCCGUCGCCGGCGAACUCAUCGCCGGAGCGUCCCCGCCGUCUUCGCGCUCGUCGCCGGUGAGCCCGCGCAGCCCCAUCCUGUUUCCUCCUCUCUCUCCCUGACCCUGUCUCUCUCUCACUCUCACAGGGUCGCUGCCCCAUCGCAGGAGUUACCCAGGCCGCCGUCGAUGGGCGCCUCGUCGCCGGCCCCUCCGACGCCAGAUCCGCGGUCCCCAGGCCCGGAUCUGCCUGUUCCCGCCGCCCCGCGCCUCCUCUGGCCUCUCCGGCCGUCGUCAGCCCAAGCCCGGCGAGCCCCGACCUCGCCUCGUCCUCACAGGGGUCGGGCACGAGCCCUCCCGUGUAGACCUCGCGCAUUGACCGCCGCCUCCCGCGUGGGCCUCGCUCUAGCCCAGGCCACGUCCCGGCCUGGUCCAGCUCCUCUGCCUGCCCAAGCCUCUCCACCGACUGGGCCUAGCCCAUGGUGAGCAGCCCCCAGCGCCUCUUUGUUUUUUUCACCGAUCGGCCUAGCCAGUUUCGGCCCAUGUCUUGUUUUUUUUUCCUGAACGAAUUUAGCUAUUAUCCAAGUUUUACCAGUUUUACAGAAACCCCUCAUUAUUCAUGCAUUUAAUAUCUCACAAAUGGUGCAUCGGAUUAAAAUAUUUUAUAUAUGUAAAAUGCUUAGAAUUUCAUCUACUUUCAUAAUCUGCUAUUUUCAUCCCAUGUUAAAAUGUUUAAACUUGUUGUUUAUUUAAUUUUGCAUAAUGCCAUGCUAAAAUGAUUUAUUUCAUAACUAAAUAACCAUAGCUCGGUUUUAAUUAAACUUUAUAUGUAAAUGGGGUGGAAAAAUGCCUAGAUUAACAUGGUCCACUUUGUUUUACUGUUUAAAAACUCUAAAAUAUGGUUUAGGGCAGAACAGUACCGAAUCCAAAAUAUGCACAUGGGGAUUUUCCGGAAUUGUCGUUUUGUUGUUCCGGCCUCAUUUAAACUUGCCUAGAUAGGUAGUUUCAUCAUGCUUCACCUCUUGCCAUGCUAAUAACAUUUAAUAUUGUUGGGUACAUAACCGAGAUCAAACUAAAUAAUUGCAUGUGGUGUUUUGUCAAUAUGCAACUCGUUGCAUAUUGAGCUCCACUUUACUUGUAGUAUUGUUUGUUGCACUUUGCCAUGCCAUGCCUCAUUAAAUUGGACAUGCAUCAUACUUGAUUGUGCAUCAUGCCAUGAUUAUGUUGUGUGUUUACUAUGUUGCUUGCUUCUUUCUGGUGUUGCUUCUUAGUUCCGGUAACGUUGCGUUUGUGAGGAUUCGUUCGACUACGUUGGUUCAUCUACUUCAUGGAAUCGUUCUUCUUCCUUGCGGGAUUUCAGGCAAGAUGACUGCUACCCUGGAUCUCACUACUAUCAUUGCUAUGCUAGUUGCUUUGUUCUAUCGCUAUGCUGCGUUACCUAUCUGUUGCUCUUCAAGCCCCCCAAAAUGCCAUGAACCUCUAACCUUUGACACCCUUCCUAGCAAACCAUUGUUUGGCUAUGUUACCGCUUUGCUCAGCCCCUCUUAUAGCGUUGUUAGUUGCAGGUGAAGUUGAAGAUUUCUCCAUGGUGGACAGGAUUUUGGUUGGGAUAUCACAAUAUCUCUUAUAUUAUUAAUGCAUCUAUAUAUUUGGUAAAGGGUGGAAGGCUCGGCCUUAUGCCUGGUGUUUUGUUCCACUCUUGCCGCCCUAGUUUCCGUCAUACCGGUGUUAUGUUCCCAGAUUUUGCGUUCCUUACGCGGUCGGGUGAUUUAUGGGACCCCCUUGACAGUUCGCUUUGAAUAAAACUCCUCCAGCAAGGCCCAACAUUGGUUUUACCAUUUGCCUCACCACCACCUAUAUUUCCCUUGGGUGUAAUUAACCCAAGGGUCAUCUAUAUUACAACCCCCCCGGGCCAGUGCUUGUCUAAGUGUUGGUCCGAACUAGAGCCCUUUGCAGCGCCCCCUCAGGGAAAUUUGAGGUCUGGUUUUAGUUGUACGGAUUGCUCAUCCGGUGUUGCCCUGAGAAUGAGAUAUGUGCAGCUCCUAUCGGGAUUGUCGGCGCAUCGGGCGGCUUUGCUGGUCUUGUUUUACCAUUGUCAAAAUGUCUUAUAAACCGGGAUUCCGAGUCUGAUCGGGUCUUCCUGGGAGAAGGUCUAUUCCUUCGUUGAUCGCGAGAGCUUGUCAUGGGCUAAGUUGGGACACCCCUGCAGGGUAUAAUCUUUCGAAAGCCGUGCCUGCGGUUAUAGGCAGAUGGGAAUUUGUUAAUGUGCGGUUGUAGUUAACUUUGACACCAGAUCCGAAUUAAAACGCAUCAACCGCGUGUGUAGCCGUGAUGGUCUCUUCUCGGCGGAGUCCGGGAAGUGAACACGGUUUCUAGGUUAUGUUUGACGUAAGUAGGAGUUCAUGAUGACUUCUUGAUCAUUGCUAGUUUCACGACCGUUCCGCUUGCUCUCUUCUCGCUCUUGUUUGCGUAUGUUAGCCACAAUAUAUGCUUAGUCGAUGCUGCAGCCUCACCACUUUACCCCUUCCUUUCCCAUUUAAGCUUUGCUAGUCUUGAUACCCAUGGUAAUGGGAUUGCUGAGUCCUCGUGGCUCAUAGAUUACUACAACAACAGUUGCAGGUAUAGGUUAUGCGAUGAUCAUGAUGCGAGAGCGAUGCUUGCUUGCGUUGAGUUCUUCUUCUGCUUCUUCUUCGAUUAGGGGAUAGGUUCCAGGUCGGCAGCCUGGGCUAGCAGGGUGGAUGUCAUUUGAGUUUCUGUUUAUGUUUUCAUCCGUAGUCGGAUGAUGCUCUUAUGUAUUGUGAUGUUGUAUUCAUGUGGCAUUGUUUGCCUCUUGUAUGUAUCCCCAUCUAUUAUGUAAUGUUGAUGUAAUGAUAUCCACCUUGCAAAAGCGUUUCAAUAUGCGGGUCUAUCCUUGGUGGGACCUUCGAGUUCCUUUUGGAUAGGGUCGCAUAUUGGGCGUGACAUUUGAUGACGGUUUUGUAUUAUUUUAGUUAUGUGAUUUGGUGACCGAAUGUUGUUCGGAGUCCCGGAUGAGAUCACGGACAUGACGAGGAGUGUCUAAAUGGUCGAAAGGUAAAGAUUGAUAUAUAUAGGACAAUGGUAU